CCUCAAAAUAAAUGUAAUUCAUGGGCAUCAGAUCUAAUCAAAUCUUGGGCGGCAUCCAUUACUAAGAAAAUAUGAUGCCCGUUUUACCGAGAGAAGAUGCAUUAAAACAUGCGGUCAUUGGGAAGACUGGAAGAAGCAGCCAUGUGUCAGGGGAGCUUUUAGAUAUUUUUGGGCUUCUGUGUCCCAGGUGCGAGGUGAGGUAAAAUAUUAUUGUAUCAAUACAGAGUUUGAAAAAAAU